rnacentral:lncRNA from 1 species
AAUCCUCCUCCUCCAAGCUACUCCAAGUAUUUAAAUAAUGAAAUAGACUAAUGACUCAAGCAAGAGAAAAUAUUGCUUCAAGAUGAGAUCACAAAAUUAACUCUCAAUGAAAAGGCUAUAAAAGAGUGGAUACCUCAAACUUUUGAGACAUUUUAAAAAUAUCUAGUACCCAAGUAAACUUAAGUUUAUUUGAGAAGGAACUCUGGAGGAUCAAAAUAUAAUAUUUUAUUGGAGGAUAUAGUAGGACAAAGUAGAUAGGUU